CGUCAUACCCAAGAAGACUCGAGGCUGUAAUCGCUGCCAAAGAGAUCAUAGAUUGAGGUUGAGAACAGUCAUAUACAGCAGGGACCUCGAUUUCUGGCUUUCUCAUAUUUAUUCCAACACAAUAACACAAGACUUGGAAAUGUGGCAAUGAGACCAAGACAACGGUGAACAGAGCUGGCCACUGGCCUGGUCACGUCGCCUCAGAACUCAACAUCUCCACCUCUCCAUCUGCUAAAUGUCCUACUGUAUACUGAAUGAAAAUAAACAUCUGUAUCAAAACA